rnacentral:rRNA from 1 species
UCGAGAAUCUUCGGCAAUGCGCGCAAGCGUGACCGAGCGACGCCGUGUGUGGGAUGAAGGCCUUCGGGUUGUAAACCACUGUCGUAGAGGAGGAAGUUGAUUGGGGUUCUCCCCAGUCAUUGACCUAUUCUAGGAGGAAGGACGGGCUAAGUACGUGCCAGCAGCCGCGGUAAUACGUACCGUCCAAACGUUAUUCGGAAUUACUGGGCUUAAAGGGUACGUAGGCGGCGCUGUUAGUCGGGUGUGAAAUCCCUCGGCUCAACCGAGGAAUUGCGCCCGAUACUGCAGUGCUUGAGGGAGACAGAGGUAAGCGGAACUGAUGGUGGAGCGGUGAAAUGCGUUGAUAUCAUCAGGAACACCAGUGGCGAAAGCGGCUUACUGGGUCUCUUCUGACGCUGAGGUACGAAAGCUAGGGGAGCGAAGGG